AGUGAACGCUGGCGGUAGGCCUAACACAUGCGAGUCGAACGGCAGCACAGUAAGAGCUUGCUCUUACGGGUGGCGAGUGGCGGACGGGUGAGGAAUACAUCGGAAUCUACUUUUUCGUGGGGGAUAACGUAGGGAAACUUACGCUAAUACCGCAUACGACCUACGGGUGAAAGCAGGAGAUCUUCGGACCUUGCGCGAUUGAAUGAGCCGAUGUCGGAUUAGCUAGUUGGCGGGGUAAAGGCCCACCAAGGCAACGAUCCGUAGCUGGUCUGAGAGGAUGAUCAGCCACACUGGAACUGAGACACGGUCCAGACUCCUACGGGAGGCAGCAGUGGGGAAUAUUGGACAAUGGGCGCAAGCCUGAUCCAGCCAUACCGCGUGGGUGAAGAAGGCCUUCGGGUUGUAAAGCCCUUUUGUUGGGAAAGAAAAGCAGCAGGUUAAUACCCCGCUGUUCUGACGGUACCCAAAGAAUAAGCACCGGCUAACUUCGUG
rnacentral:rRNA from 1 species